UACGUAGGGUGCAAGCGUUGUUCGGAAUUACUGGGCGUAAAGGGCUCGUAGGCGGCCAACUAAGUCGGACGUGAAAUCCCUCGGCUUAACCGGGGAACUGCGUCCGAUACUGGAUGGCUUGAGGUUGGGAGAGGGAUGCGGAAUUCCAGGUGUAGCGGUGAAAUGCGUAGAUAUCUGGAGGAACACCGGUGGCGAAGGCGGCAUCCUGGACCAAUUCUGACGCUGAGUGAGCGAAAGCCAGGGGAGCAAACGGG
rnacentral:rRNA from 1 species